AUGGAACUUGGUUCCUCGAAUAACUUCUGGCACAGACAUCUGAGGGCAUUGCCGUCCAAGAAGAAAAUGUAGCCAUUGGUGUCAUCUAUCGACCACAGGUUAAAGAUUGGCGAUCCGUUGGAUACCGACCGAGUUAUAGUCAAAACUUGGCGCAAAAAUGAGCCUUAGAAAAUUUUCAAGAUUUUAGAUUUUUUUCAUUUUUUUCUGAUUUUUUAUUCUUUUUUUUGUUUUAAACAUUAUUUGAGUGAAAAGAAACACAUUGCAACCAAUUGGCAUUAAAAUAAAUCAAUUUAAAUUUUUUUGCAAAAUUUCCCAAAAAAAACGUAAGGGGUAAGCCUUAUGAAAUUUUCGAGUGAAAAAAUUUUUUAAAAUUUUUUUCUGAUUUUUCAUUAUUUUUUUAAUUUAAAGCAUUAUUUGAGUGAAAAGAAACUUACUGCAACAAAUUUGCAUUCAAAUAUAUCACAUUUAAAAAUUUUGCUCAAUUGCUCAAAAAUGAGGAAAAUUUUACAUUUUCUCAAACAGGGUAUGGAACUUGGUUCCUCGAAUAACUUCUGGCACAGACAUUUGAGGGCAUGGCCGUCCAAGAAGAAAAUGUAGCCAUUGGUGCCAUCUAUCGACCACAGGUUAAAGAUUGGCGAUCCGUUGGAUACCGGCCGAGUUAUAGGCAAAACUUGGUGCAAAAAUGAGGAAAAUUUUACAUUUCCUCAAACAGGGUAUGGAACUUGGUUCCUCGAAUAACUUCUGGCACAGACAUCUGAGGACAUGGCCGUCCAAGAAGAAAAUGUAGCCAUUGGUGCCAUCUAUCGACCACAGGUUAAAGAUUGGCGAUCCGUUGGAUACCGACCGAGUUAUAGGCAAAACUUGGCGCAAAAAUGAGCCUUAGAAAAUUUUCAAGAUUUUAGAUUUUUUUCAUUUUUUUCUGAUUUUUUAUUCUUUUUUUUGUUUUAAACAUUAUUUGAGUGAAAAGAAACACAUUGCAACCAAUUGGCAUUAAAAUAAAUCAAUUUAAUUUUUUUUGCAAAAUUUCCCAAAAAAAUCGUAAGGGGUAAGCCUUAUGAAAUUUUCGAGUGAAAAAAUUUUUUAAAAUUUUUUUCUGAUAUUUUAUUCUUUUUUUAAUUUAAAGCAUUAUUUGAGUGAAAAGAAACUUACUGCAACAAAUUCGCAUUCAAAUAUAUCACAUUUAAAAAUUUUGCUCAAUUGCUCAAAAAUGAGGAAAAUUUUACAUUUUCUCAAACAGGGUAUGGAACUUGGUUCCUCGAAUAACUUCUGGCACAGACAUUUGAGGGCAUGGCCGUCCAAGAAGAAAAUGUAGCCAUUGGUGCCAUCUAUCGACCACAGGUUAAAGAUUGGCGAUCCGUUGGAUACCGGCCGAGUUAUAGGCAAAACUUGGUGCAAAAAUGAGGAAAAUUUUACAUUUCCUCAAACAGGGUAUGGAACUUGGUUCCUCGAAUAACUUCUGGCACAGACAUCUGAGGACAUGGCCGUCCAAGAAGAAAAUGUAGCCAUUGGUGCCAUCUAUCGACCACAGGUUAAAGAUUGGCGAUCCGUUGGAUACCGACCGAGUUAUAGGCAAAACUUGGCGCAAAAAUGAGCCUUAGAAAAUUUUCAAGAUUUUAGAUUUUUUUCAUUUUUUUCUGAUUUUUUAUUCUUUUUUUUGUUUUAAACAUUAUUUGAGUGAAAAGAAACACAUUGCAACCAAUUGGCAUUAAAAUAAAUCAAUUUAAUUUUUUUUGCAAAAUUUCCCAAAAAAAUCGUAAGGGGUAAGCCUUAUGAAAUUUUCGAGUGAAAAAAUUUUUUAAAAUUUUUUUCUGAUAUUUUAUUCUUUUUUUAAUUUAAAGCAUUAUUUGAGUGAAAAGAAACUUACUGCAACAAAUUCGCAUUCAAAUAUAUCACAUUUAAAAAUUUUGCUCAAUUGCUCAAAAAUGAGGAAAAUUUUACAUUUUCUCAAACAGGGUAUGGAACUUGGUUCCUCGAAUAACUUCUGGCACAGACAUUUGAGGGCAUGG